GACGAACGCUGGCGGCAUGCCUAAUACAUGCAAGUUGAGCGCUGAAGGUUGGUACUUGUACCGACUGGAUGAGCAGCGAACGGGUGAGUAACGCGUGGGGAAUCUGCCUUUGAGCGGGGGACAACAUUUGGAAACGAAUGCUAAUACCGCAUAAAAACUUUAAACACAAGUUUUAAGUUUGAAAGAUGCAAUUGCAUCACUCAAAGAUGAUCCCGCGUUGUAUUAGCUAGUUGGUGAGGUAAAGGCUCACCAAGGCGAUGAUACAUAGCCGACCUGAGAGGGGGAUCGGCCACAUUGGGACUGAGACACGGCCCAAACUCCUACGGGAGGCAGCAGUAGGGAAUCUUCGGCAAUGGACGAAAGUCUGACCGAGCAACGCCGCGUGAGUGAAGAAGGGUUUCGGAUCGUAAAACUCUGUUGGUAGAGAAGAACGUUGGUGAGAGUGGAAAGCUCAUCAAGUGACGGUAACUACCCAGAAAGGGACGGCUAACUACGUG
rnacentral:rRNA from 1 species